GACCAGGUAGCUCAGUUGGAUAGAGCGUUGUCCUCAUACCACAAGGUUGUGGGUUUGAUCCCCAAUCAGGGCA
rfam:Myotis davidii contig315893, whole genome shotgun sequence.